CCUACGGGAGGCAGCAGUAAGGAAUCUUCCACAAUGGACGAAAGUCUGAUGGAGCAACGCCGCGUGCAGGAUGAAGGCUUUCGGGUCGUAAACUGCUUUUAUAUGGGAAGAUUAUGACGGUACCAUAUGAAUAAGGACCGGCUAACUACGUGCCAGCAGCCGCGGUAAUACGUAGGGUCCAAGCGAUAUCCGGAAUUACUGGGCGUAAAGCGUGUGUAGGUGGAUUAAUAAGUGUGAUGCGAAAUCCGGCGGCUCAACCGUUUGGACUGUGUCGCAUACUGUUAGUCUAGAGGACGGCAGAGGUAAGUGGAAUUACGGGUGUAGCAGUGAAAUGCGUAGAUAUCCGUAGGAACACCAAUGGCGAAGGCAGCUUACUGGGCCACACCUGACACUGAGACACGAAAGCGUGGGGAGCGAACAGGAUUAGAUACCCUGGUAGUCCACGCCGUAAACCGAUGCAUACUAUUAGUAUGGGGUAUCGACCCCCUGUGCUGAGAAGCUAACGCGAUAAGUAUGCCGCCUGGGGAGUACGAGCGCAAGCUUAAAACCUUAAAGAGUAGUAGCGNGNGAGUGNGACCGAGCACGACGGAGGGUAG
rnacentral:rRNA from 1 species